rnacentral:siRNA from 1 species
AUUUGCUUUCUUGUAUGCAUCAUA